UAAAACUUCUCUUUUGUGUUCAGUGGAAGAAAUGAGAAAUGAUGGCCACAUUUUUAUUUGUAGGUGAACUAUCCCUUUAAGUUCGUCCAAUCCGGCACUGUCCUAUCUUACAAAGAGCAUGUGCAGAGGAGGCUUGACAUGUGCUUGUUAACAGUAUUUUCUUCUCUUCAGCCUCCCAAGGCAAAGGUCAUCUGGACACUUUGUUCUCAAACAAAGCAGAUAGGAAGUCAACCACUCGCAAUCGGGUCAGAGCGACAAUCCCCUCUCCUCCACAAAUAAAGCCGGCGAGCUUAAACCUGUUACUGUCAGCUUCUCACCUGGAUCACAAUCUCUCCAGCACUCCGCGUGCAAACCAAUCGCCUUUGUUCUUUUUUUCCCACCACUUACUGAGAGCUCCCAGGUAAAGGGGAUGGCAAAUGUAUCCUAUAGAGUUACCGACGGCUAAGCCGGGUUGAUGAUCAGCACAAUAGUGGCAGGUAAUAUGUCCUCGGCCUUUUCCCCGGGCUUCAUUUCCGAACAGCGGCUGCUAUUUCACAGCUGUUAAGUGCUGCCUCUGUCUUUGUUGUGAUUAGGGGUAAAUUAAUAGAUGCCUCCCGGUAAUCAGCUUCCAUUAGUGCUGUCACAUCCUCGCUGUCAGGACGCCGGCUGCAGUGGACAGGGAAUGUUCACCCUGUCAACGAGAAGCACAUUAGUGGCGUCUUUAGCACUAGAAAGGGAAAAGGCGGCAAAUCCAGCACCGGGUCGUUUAGCCAUUUUGCAAGGGCAGAACGGCACGGGAUGACUGGUGAGGACGAUCACAGAGAUGAUCUAACCUGAAACCUCUGAGAAUAAAUGAUGUCCCCCUCUUAAAAAAGAGGGUGGAUAGGAGGGCUGGUCGUGCCUGAUUCAUGUCGUACACACUAGCAGGCUAUUAUGCAUGGAAAAUUGAUUGCUCAAGCGCCGUGGCCGGUGUUGGAUCUUGAUGGCGCCGCUGAAAUGUCACCUUACUGAUGUUACAGUGCGGGAGAUAUUAAAGCCAGCCAUAUUCAAAGACUUCUAUUUGUUUCUGAUCCACUCCCACUGUGUGCUUGAGGACGGCACUGAUCAUCUGAGUUUAUUUUUUUUCUUUCUGAUGGCUGGUCUCUUAUCUGCUCAAGACAGUGGAGCAGCUUCUGUCCCCGCAUUGAAAAUUUCCAAUCGGCCACUUGUAUCAUCCAUGUCUUUAAAGUGGAAAUCCAAAUAUAGAGUAGUUAUGCUUUCUUCUUUUCUACUUUUGAAGACAUAAUUAAGAUUGUGUGUGUGCAUAUUUAUGCGAUCGAGGGAAUAUUUAAUACCCCAGGCCUAAAGUUUGUCCUGUGAAUGAUAAGUUUUAGCCCUGAAGCAUUAAUUAUAGACCUACAUACAUUACAACAGAGUUAAGAGCAUUCGGACUAGAAGUAGAGGAUAAUAGUUGAGGAUUUUAUAACAUACUGUUUCAUUAAAUGUUCAUUGUGGUGAUA